CUAAUUUCUAAGAAAUGACUGGUCAGGCUAGACUGGUAAAACAUUACCCAGCUCUCAGCUUUCCCUGCAUUGUGUCAAGGGACCAAGGAGUAAUAAGAGGACUGAUUAUUCUUUUGUGACUAUUAAAAGUAGUGGAGCGAGCAAGAGACCUACAGCACGUGAUGUAGUAGAAAACAAAUGUAAUCAAUGUUUUCAUGGCAACAUAAGCAGGAGCUUUUGUGUUCUUCUGUUGCUCUCCCCAGUGUGGAACUGGGAUUCUGGAGGGAUGUUCAGGAAAGCAAGGAUUGAGCUUUGGUCCCAUUUCUGUAGUUGAUGGACAGAACUGAAGAAUUUUUGCUCACUUGUGCAGAUAGAAAAGUGCUUAAAUCCUCAUCUACUUUUCCUAUCCAUCCAUGGCAACUUUCAAGUGUAUAUCACCAUUUCUCUCACCCUCUUGGACAAACAGAAAAAUAUCUCAUGAAAUAGCAUUUAUGUUGCAGUCAUGCUUACAUAACA